ensembl:lncRNA novel transcript, sense intronic to ADGRB3
UUUUUUUUUUUUUUUUUUUUUUUUUUGAGACAAGGUCUUUCUCUGUCACCUAGGCUGGAGUGCAGUGGCACAAUCACCUCUCACUGCAACUUCUGCCUCCUGGGCCUAGGCUCAAGUGAUCCUUCCACCUCAACCUCUCAAGUAGCUCGGACAGCCUGCCCCAAGGGCCUGUGCUGGUGGCUGCCAUGGGGAGACUCCUCUGCUUUUGGAAAUGGGAGGGAAAGACCUUGUCUUGUGGGUUGGGUGUCAGCUCAGCUGCAGGUUAAUAGAGAACCAGGUAGAUUCAAGAGGUAGGGAGGAUCACAAAAACAAACAAACAAACAAACAAAACAGAAAUUAAUAACAAAAAGGCAGGAGUAAAUCCUUACUUAUGAAUAAUAACAUUGAAUGUAGAUGGACUAAACUCUCCAAUCGAAAGACAUAGAGUAGACAAAUGGAUAAAAAACAAGACCUAAUGAUCUGUUGCCCACAAGAAAUACACUACACCUGUAAUUAAACACAUAGACUGAAAAUAAAGGGAUAGAAAAGAUAUUUCAUGCCAACGGAAACCAAAAAUGAGCAGUAGCUAUACUUACAUCAGAAAAAGUAGAUUUCAAGACAAAAGCUAUUAAAUGAGUCAAAGAAGAUCAUUAGAUAAUGAUAAAAGGGAUAAUUCAUCCAGAUGAUAUAUCAACUGCAAAUAUAUAUGUACCGAACACUGAAGCACCCCAAUAUAGAAAACAAAUAUUAUUAGAACUAAAGGGAGAUACAGACCCCAAUACAAUAAUAGCUGGAGAUUUCAACAACACAUUUUCAGUUUUGGACAGGUCAUCCAGUCAGGAAAUUAAUAAAGAAACAUCAGAUUUACUCUUCAUGAUAGAACACAUGGACCUAAUAGAUAUUUACAGAUCAUUUCAUCUAGCAGCUACAGAAUGCACAUUCUUUUCCUCAGCACAUGGAUUAUUCUCAAGGAUAGACUAUAUGUUAAGCCACAAAACAAGUCUGGAGACAUUCAAAAAAUUUGAAAUAAUAUCAGGUACCUUCUCUGGCCACAAUGGAAUAAAACUAUCAAUAGAAAUAAAUAACAAGAGGAAUUUUUCAAACUAUACAAGCUCAUGGAAAUUAAACAAUAUGCUCCUGAAUGACCAGUGAAUCAAUGGAGAAAUUAAGAAGAGAAUUUAAAAAUCUCUUUAAACAAAUGGUAAUGGAAACACAACAUACCAAAAUCUAUGGGAUAUAGCGAAGCAGCACUAAGAGGAGAGUUUAUAGUUCUGAGUGCCUACAUCAAAAAAGUAGAAAAACUUCAAAUAAACAACCUGAUGAUGCAUCUUGAAGAACUAGGAGAGGAAGAGAAAGCCAAACCCAGAAUUAAUAGAAGAAAAGAAGUAAUAAAGACUCACGAAAGGAAAGACUUCACAUGUUCUCACUUAUUUGUGGGAACUGAAAAUUAAAACAAUUGAACAAAUGUAGAUAGAAAAUAGAAAGAUGGUUAACAGAGGCUAGGAAGGGUAGUGAGGGUGUGUGUGUGGCAAGGAGUGGGAUUGCUUAAUUGGUACAAAAAAUAGGAAAAACAAAUGACACCUAGUAUUUUAGCACAACAGGAUGUCUAUAGUCAAUAAUAAUUUAAUUGUAUAUUUUAGAGUAACUGAAAGAGUAUAAUUGGAUUUUUUGCAACACAAAAGAUAAAUGCUUGAGGAAGUGGAUACCCUAUUUACCAUGAUGUAAUUAUCAUACAUUCCAUGCCUAUAUCAAAGUAUUUCAUUUAACAUAUAACUAUAUACAUCUACUAAGUACCCACAAAAAUUAAAAAUCAAAAAUUUAAAAAUUAAUUAAAUUGAAAUGAAGAAAAUAAUACAAAAAUCAAUGAACCAAAAAGUGAGUUCUUUGAAAAGAUAAAUAAAAUUGACAAACUUUUAGCCAGGCUAACUAAAAAAAAUCCAAAUAAAUAAAAUUAGAGAUGAAAAAAGGAGACAAUACAACUGAUACUAUAAAAUUCAAAACAUCAUUAGAGGCUAAUGUUAGGAACUAUAUAACUAUACACCUAUAAAUUGGAAGACCUAGAAGAAAUGAAUAAAUUCCUAGACACAUGCAGCCUAUCAAAAUUGAAAUAUGAAGAAAUCCAAAACCUGAAUAGAUUAAGUAACCAGAUCAAGGCCAUAAGAAAAGGCCUCCCAGGAAAGUAAAACCCUCAACUCAAUGGCUUCAUUACUGCAUUUUACAAAACAUUUAAAGAAGAAGUAAUAUUGAUCCUACUCAAACUAGUUUUGCAAAAUAGAGGAGGAGAGAAUACUCUCAUACUCAUUCUGUGAUGCCAGUAUUACCCUGAUACCAAAGCCAGGCAAAGACAUAUCAAAAAAAAGAAAACUACAGACCAAUAUCCCUGAUCAACAUUAAUGUCAAAAUCCUCAACAAAAUACUCGCAAACAAUACACUCAACAAUACAUUAGAAAGAUCAUUCAUCAUCACCAAGUGGGAUUUAUCUCAGGGAUGCAAGGAUAGUUCAAUGUAUGCAAAUCAAUCAAUAUGAAACAUCAUAUAAACAGAAUGAAGGACAAAGCCUAUAUGAUCAUUUCAAUCGAUGCUGAAAAAAGCAUUUGAUAAAAUUCAAUAUCACUUUAUGGUAAAAAACAUAAAAAAAGCUGGGUGUAGAAAGAAUGUACCUCAACACAAUAAAAGCCAUAUACAACAACAAAAAAAAAAA